GAUGAACGCUGGCGGCGUGCCUAAUACAUGCAAGUCGAGCGAACGGAUGAGAAGCUUGCUUCUCUGAUGUUAGCGGCGGACGGGUGAGUAACACGUGGAUAACCUACCUAUAAGACUGGGAUAACUUCGGGAAACCGGAGCUAAUACCGGAUAAUAUUUUGAACCGCAUGGUUCAAAAGUGAAAGACGGUCUUGCUGUCACUUAUAGAUGGAUCCGCGCUGCAUUAGCUAGUUGGUAAGGUAACGGCUUACCAAGGCAACGAUGCAUAGCCGACCUGAGAGGGUGAUCGGCCAAACUGGAACUGAGACACGGUCCAGACUCCUACGGGAGGCAGCAGUAGGGAAUCUUCCGCAAUGGGCGAAAGCCUGACGGAGCAACGCCGCGUGAGUGAUGAAGGUCUUCGGAUCGUAAAACUCUGUUAUUAGGGAAGAACAUAUGUGUAAGUAACUGUGCACAUCUUGACGGUACCUAAUCAGAAAGCCACGGCUAACUACGUG
rnacentral:rRNA from 1 species